UGUGAAAUAUCAGGGUCAGAGUCAGUAACUGCUGAUUUUAGCUGUAAUCUCUACACUGGAGAAAAUCCUCAGCCUUAUGUAAAGACAGGACCUCAGAAGGCAGUUUGUAGAUUUACAGCAAAGAAAAAUGAUCUGUUUAAUCGUCUGCAGUCAGUAAAGAGUCGUGAAGUGAGCUGUGAUUAUUCACUGAUCUCUGACCCGACUGCUCGCUCUCUAAUGAGUGAUAAAUACAACAUGAUGCAUUUCUUUACAACAACAUCAACAACAACAACAACAACAACAACGACUCAGACAUCCACUCCUGAAGAGAAACCCAGUGCAGAUUUGAGUCUGGUAACGACGCCACCAUCCACAGCUACGGAGGAACCUACAGCAGCUUCUCCAGUUUUUUCAACUCCUCUGAUCACCA
ensembl:lncRNA